rnacentral:rRNA from 1 species
GAUGAACGCUGGCGGCGUGCCUAAUACAUGCAAGUCGAGCGAACAGACGAGGAGCUUGCUCCUCUGACGUUAGCGGCGGACGGGUGAGUAACACGUGGAUAACCUACCUAUAAGACUGGGAUAACUUCGGGAAACCGGAGCUAAUACCGGAUAAUAUAUUGAACCGCAUGGUUCAAUAGUGAAAGACGGUUUUGCUGUCACUUAUAGAUGGAUCCGCGCCGCAUUAGCUAGUUGGUAAGGUAACGGCUUACCAAGGCAACGAUGCGUAGCCGACCUGAGAGGGUGAUCGGCCACACCGGAACUGAGACACGGUCCAGACUCCUACGGGAGGCAGCAGUAGGGAAUCUUCCGCAAUGGGCGAAAGCUUGACGGAGCAACGCCGCGUGAGUGAUGAAGGUCUUCGGAUCGUAAAACUCUGUUAUCAGGGAAGAACAAAUGUGUAAGUAACUAUGCACGUCUUGACGGUACCUAAUCAGAAAGCCACGGCUAACUACGUG